rnacentral:misc_RNA from 1 species
AAAAGUCGUAACAAGGUUUCCGUAGGUGAACCUGCGGAAGGAUCAUUACCAAAGAAUUUCAUCAUUCACACUGUGCACUGUCUGACUGACCUGGCGUCUGCCGACUGGGUGUAAUGCCUGGACGGACGCGCCAAAUUGUUAACAACAACCAUACAACCUAUUCAGCCUUACAAAUGCAGUCAACCUGCAACAAUCAAAAACAACUUUUAGCAACGGAUCUCUAGGCUCUU